ACGGGGUGCAGCAGGCGCGAAAACUUCGCAAUGCGCGAAAGCGUGACGAGGGAACCCCAAGUGCCGUUGGUCUUUUGAUCGACGGCUUUUCGGGAGUCUAAGAAGCUUCCGGAAUAAGGGCUGGGCAAGACUGGUGCCAGCCGCCGCGGUAAUACCAGCAGCCCAAGUGGUGGUCGCGUUUAUUGGGCCUAAAGCGCUCGUAGCCGGGCUUGCAAGUCCCUUGUGAAAUCGGACGGCUCAACCGUUCGGCGUGCAAGGGAUACUGCUGGCCUUGGGAUCGGGAGAGGUCGGGGGUACUCUGGGGGUAGCGGUGAAAUGCUGUAAUCCCUGGAGGACCACCAGUGGCGAAGGCGCCCGACCAUAACGGAUCCGACGGUGAGGGGCGAAGGCUAGGGGAGCGAACGGGAUUAGAUACCCCGGUAGUCCUAGCAGUAAAGGAUGCGGGCUGGGUGUCAGGCGCCCUUCGAGAGCGCCUAGUGCCGUAGGGAAGCCGUGAAGCGAGCCACCUGGGAAGUACGGCCGCAAGGCUGAAACUUAAAGGAAUUGGCGGGGGAGCA
rnacentral:rRNA from 1 species